AGAGUUUGAUCAUGGCUCAGGAUGAACCUAGCGGCAGGCUUAAUACAUGCAAGUCGUGGGGCAGCAGGGGUAGCAAUACCCGCUGGCGACCGGCAAACGGGUGCGGAACACGUACGCAACCUUCCUUUAACUGGAGAAUAGCCCCUCGAAAGAGGGAUUAAUACUCCGUAACAUAUUGAUAAGGCAUCUUAUUAAUAUUAUAGCUCCGGCGGUUAAAGAUGGGCGUGCGCCUGAUUAGAUAGUUGGCGGGGUAACGGCCCACCAAGUCUGCGAUCAGUAACUGGUGUGAGAGCACGACCAGUCACACGGGCACUGAGACACGGGCCCGACUCCUACGGGAGGCAGCAGUAAGGAAUAUUGGUCAAUGGACGCAAGUCUGAACCAGCCAUGCCGCGUGGAGGAUUAAGGCCCUCUGGGUUGUAAACUCCUUUUAUCUGGGAAGAAAUGCAUUUUUUCUAAAGUGCUUGACGGUACCAGAGGAAUAAGCACCGGCUAACUCCGUGCCAGCAGCCGCGGUAAUACGGAGGGUGCAAGCGUUAUCCGGAUUCACUGGGUUUAAAGGGUGCGUAGGCGGGCAGGUAAGUCCGUGGUGAAAUCUCUGAGCUUAACUCAGAAACUGCCAUGGAUACUAUUUGUCUUGAAUAUUGUGGAGGUAAGCGGAAUAUGUCAUGUAGCGGUGAAAUGCUUAGAUAUGACAUAGAACACCAAUUGCGAAGGCAGCUUACUACACAGUUAUUGACGCUGAGGCACGAAAGCGUGGGGAUCAAACAGGAUUAGAUACCCUAGUAGUCC
rnacentral:rRNA from 1 species